AGGCCAGCUAAACAGAAGAUCCGUUUAGCAGUAAAACUACAUUGCUGCCUAUCGGAACAGGAAAACCUUGUAGUGAAGUUACAUCAGCAACGAUGUGUUUCACGUGCCUACAGCUGCAUACCUCCAGGUUUGCAACUGUGCAGCAGCACAUUUUUUUGCCAGUUGUCAGACUAAUUCAACAGCAAAAUCCAAGCAAUGAAGAUUUUGCCUGGAACAAUAUAGAAGACCUGCUAGAAGCCUAGACGUGACCCUGUAGUAACCCUGCUGUAUGAGUGUCUCCUUGGGACUGAUCCAACUGGUUGUCCAAAGAUCCGGUAAAUAUUUGCAUGCACAGAGUAAGCUAGUGGCACUUUCCGUGUAGAGCUGGUAACAAGACACAACAUCUCAGCUCUAUGUCAAUAGUGAAAAACAAACAGUGACUGCUAGUGGUGAACAUCAACUUUCAUGCAACAGUUGGCACUCGGUACUCAUGACCGUGACCUACAAACUUUAUCACACUCCAAUCUGCAUUGUGAAAGCAAAGACUACAGCGGUGGCUGCCCAUAGUGUAGCCUCGUGGGAUCUCCGGUCCUGAAGGUAUCACAUUGAUCCUCCUCUCUGUUUCUUCCUGAUACCUUUUACCACUUUAUGCGGACAAACAGAAACUACAUGAAGGAAGAUGAGGUAUAUCUAUGUAACUGUUGAUCUCAAACACAAAAACCUGCAAUCCAAGGGCAAACAUGAGGGUUGCACACAGUCUUUCUACUAUUAAUUGUAGGAGUCUGAAGAAUUAGGUAGUAAGGGGCACUAUCGGCUUAGGCACUGAAGAAAUUAAAAUGCGGUCAAAUUUAAUGAAAUGCCUGAAUAAAACAUUUUAUCAUGUGCAUCUGUUCUUCUGUCCAUGAAGAAUCCUAUUUAAACAGUAGUGGCAAUGUUUUCUCUCACAGAGCUCAGGCUCCUCAUCUGCCUCAGAGUUCUACACCCAUUUUAAACAAAUGCAGAUGUGUUUCAGUAAACUAUACAUUACUCGAACAGUGAGAUGUAUUUUGCUGAAGGAAAGUAGCUCUGUACAAGAUCUUACAGUAAAAUACGUCUUUGUAGAGUCAAGAACCUAGCUAACUAAUCUGAGAUCAAAAAGAAUUAAACCUUGAAACCUUGACCUUGAACAUUCCUUGACUAAGAAUUAAUGCGUUACAUUUAAUUGCCUGUUCUUCUGCAGCCUCCUGCAGAAAGUACUUUGGAAUACAGUUUCGUAUCGAUCUACUCAUAUACUACUUUUUAUCAAGGAUACACAUUACUAAAUAUCUUAAUAUUAACAUUUUUAAACUACUAGUUUUGAUUUGAAAUAAAAGUUAAAAGAAACUGAACUAUCCAAAGGAAGUCAGAAAAUACUAUCCUUUUCUUCGCCCACUUUAUUUCAUUUAUGUCAAAUGAAUAUUUUCAUAGUUGAUGGAGAAGACAACAUAGCCCAGGCUAGGUGUAAAGACAGCCCACAUUUAUGAAAUAUCAGUGAAAGCCUUGUAGUUUUUGGCAAAAUUUGGAUCUCUACUGGAACAACUCCAAAAAGCCAUUUUAUUACAACAUAUUGCACAGCCCUCAUGACAAUGCAAACUAUAUUUGUACAGAAUUCAAAGGAAUGUGAGAGCCAGAUUCUAUUCCAUCUUCUUCUAUGGAAUUUAUCAAGAGUGGCUUGCCAAAACAUGCAGAAAGAAAACAAAAAGUCCUCAGCAAAACAGAUUGUUUUCCAAGAGACGAGAGCUGGAAUGGUGAAAGAAAGAAGGUUCUUUAAUCAAAAGAAGCCAUAGUCAAGUAAGAGAACAGGUAUAAAAAUAAAUGUUUGCCAUCAGCUCAAGAAAGUUUAGAACAAUAUGUAGUUGAAGUUCUUUCUUCUUUGCCCUUUCACCCACAGGAGUCUGUUAGACAACCACAGGGUUCAGGUGUGACAGCCUGAGCGAGAAUUUUAGACCAGAGUGGUUGGCAAGGAAUUUUGUGAUCAAUGUCUUGCAGUGGUCCGUGGCUUUAAGGCUGUCUGGAAAUAAUAUGCUACGGAGCAGAAAUCAAUAUUCAGAUCUGCAAGUAACAAAGAUCGCAUGGCACUUCAUCAGGAACAAAAGACCUUAUAAAGCACUUGACAGAACGAGAUCAGAGCAAAGCUAGGGAAGCAAAGCUUCAAUACGUUUUGUGAUUACAAAUGAGGCAGUUUAUCAAAUGCAUUUAUAAAAUAUUUCUCAAACUGUAGCUGGACAUCAGUGUCAUAACUGUACCUUCUUUUGCAUGUUCCCAAGGUCUCCCUGGGUCGCCUCCUUUUGUCAGCGCUCCUCUGCUCCUCCAUCCCCCCAGUCUUUCUGCUGCCUUCUCACUCAUCCCUACACACUUUGCCCCAUAUUUUUCUGUACUACUACUGUCUCUUCCACAUCUGCCCACUAGUAGGUAGAGCAUCACCAUCAGAAAGCCCAAGCCAUGAAGCCCUCUUGUGGACUGUUAUGAUGGGGACACAGAGAGCAGAAUGAAUGGAAAAAUGAUUUGCCUUUGUUCUAUAGGCAGAACGCAGAACCUUGACAAUGUUGGAUUUAUUUCCAGGUUCUGGAAGGUGACAUGCUAUAUCAACUACAGACUUUUCACUUACACAACAUACAAUUCCUACAAAUUCUCUUUCUAUUCUUGAAUAAUUUAAUGCAUUUCUUAUUCUUUUCCUCUUUUUAUAAGUCUCCUUUAUUCCUUCCCCAACAUUAGGGUCUCCCUUAUCCUAUGCCAACUCUUUUUUUCCCAGCUCUUUUCAUUUUAAAUUGCCUUUCUUUCUCCAGGAUAACAGAAGGAGAGGAAAAAUAUGAGAACUCUUUCCAACCAACUUAUAUAUCUCAAGACUAGUUGCAAAAAAAGGGCCGUCCUUACCCUCUGCUACUGCAUAUUGUAGCACACUCAGUAGUGGUAGAGACUCUAACUACACAUUAACUUAAAAUUUAGUGAAAACUAUAAGCACUUAAAAUUCCUUUUUUAUUUCUCAUGAAAAGUAUAAGGUAUAUAGCCAUGGUAAUUCUCUUUCUGCCUCCAAACAACUGAAAUUUCAAGUUUUUGUGCCAAAUAAUGCAGCUGUUAGAUUAUUAACGUUAAGUAUUAAUUAAAUACCAAAACACUACAACAUGACUAAAGAAUAUGAUUUCAGGAGUUUCACUAUAUUUUGAUUAAAUUAGAAAACAAACAAACAAGCAAACAGCACUCAAAAAAAACCCCACUGUGAUCCAGAAACUCAGAGGAAAUUUGUCAUCCAAACGGUUUAAGUAUGGUAACAUUAAGAAGAUCUUAAAGUGGGGGUUAGGGGCACCUGAGCUGGGCCCUGAUAAAGUGCAAUUAUUUCCAGUGUGACCACUGUGAUAUGAUCCAAGAAAGAAAUUCCAGAAGAAAAUCCCAGGAGUAAGGUAAAAGUACAGGUUCUCUGCCCAUUCAAAGAUGUGACCCGCAGGGUAAUUUUUAGUCUUAAUACUGCAGCCUAUAUUGAAAAUGCAGAAGCUUUUGACAAUCUCUGUUCAAAAUUCAACAUCUUAUUCCUCAGAAAUAGAAAAGUAUUAGCAAUCUUACAGCCACACAAGAUCAAAGAUACUUAAGAACAGACCUUGAUGAGACUGAACAGAGGCAAAAGCCAUUCUGAAGUCUCCGAUCAUGACACUGGCUUUCCCCUGCUUUUUGACCUCGCAGAAGAGAGGAGAUGAAGAGGAAGAAACUGAAAAAGAAGUGGUUUGUAGUAUAUGAUGGCAGAGGGGAAAAAUAUGUGAUUCUGCACUGCACUAGUUUAUCUUUGGGUCCCUGUGAUAGAUACCUAGAACUGAGCAGUCCCAGAGAAGCUGCGGCUGCUCUGGGAACAAGUGAAUUCUGGGUGCCACAGCAUGGAGUAGGGCUUGCAGAGUAACUAUGCUUCUCAGGAAGACUGUAUGUGGAAAAAGAAGCCCUCAGUACAAUGAACGAGGUAACUGUGCCAAUUCACUUAUACAGAGGACAAGGUAAAUUUGUCAAAUUAUACAUAUAUAAAAUUCUCCUCUAUCUUAUUUGAGAAGGAUGAUAUUUUUUGGUGUAAAUUUGUAUUGUCUUGUUUAAUAAAAAUCAAAACAAUAGCACACACACAUAACAACAUAAAUGAAACAAGGGAAAUAAUCUUGCUUUUUAAAUGAGGCAAAAUGGAAAGAACGCAAAUUUGAAUGAUGGUUUACAUAGGUAAAAAAGUUUUUUAUGUCAGUGCAAGAAGAAUCACUUAGAGAAUGCAUAUUUUCUGCUUUUCAACAUUAUUGCUAUGAUUCAUGACAAAUCUGUACAGAGAUCAUAUCCUUGUUUAGUGUA